rnacentral:rRNA from 1 species
UUUUGGGUCAGGAUGAACGCUGGCGGCGUGCUUAACACAUGCAAGUCGAACGAUGAUGCUGGUGCUUGCACUGGUGGAUUAGUGGCGAACGGGUGAGUAACACGUGAGUAACCUGCCCCUGACUUCGGGAUAAGCCCGGGAAACUGGGUCUAAUACCGGAUAUGACUUCCUGCUGCAUGGCAGGGGGUGGAAAGAUUUAUCGGUUGGGGAUGGACUCGCGGCCUAUCAGCUUGUUGGUGAGGUAAUGGCUCACCAAGGCGACGACGGGUAGCCGGCCUGAGAGGGUGACCGGCCACACUGGGACUGAGACACGGCCCAGACUCCUACGGGAGGCAGCAGUGGGGAAUAUUGCACAAUGGGCGAAAGCCUGAUGCAGCGACGCCGCGUGAGGGAUGACGGCCUUCGGGUUGUAAACCUCUUUCAGUAGGGAAGGAAGCCCCUUUAGGGGUGACG